UGAAAAUUUUAACCAUUUCAUAAUAUUUCCCUCAUACUGUAGAAUGAUGAUUAACAAAUGGAAUGAUAAAAUAAAUGUCAAUCUAGCUAGCUAUAUACCCUAAAAGCUAAAUGAAUUCUACCUUUUAUUCUUUGUCAUCUUCUUUAUUCUUGGUCUUGUUAUGAAAGCCAUGCCACUAGAGCUGUAGAAUACAUAAUUUGGUGUGAAAUUAGGUGCUUUUGAUCCAUGUGAUCAGACUCUUACAUUCAUACCAAAUUUGUUUUCAACUUCUUUAUCAUGAUGAAGUUUGAGUUAUUUCUGAGAGGAUAUUGUUGCUCUAAGAUAUGCUAAGAGAAAAGUAAAAGCCUCUAAGCCAUAGUUACAUGGGUGGAGUUUGGUUUUUUAGGUUCCUAAAAUUUAUGCUAAAAUGCAGAACUCAGAUUUCUUUUCUUUUUAGAUAGACCUUUCUUGGUCACCUAUAAAAAAGGGAAAAAAAAAGAAAAAGGAUAUAUCUUUCUUGGCAACUGCAUGUGAUUAAUUUAUGUAUAUUGAUUUUGGUUUUUUAUUUGAUACAUUGGAUUCUAUGAUAAUUUUUUUAUUCAAGGCCUUUGGAUUCUCUUAUGUUUAUAUUUAUCUCCCAAAUCACAGGCUGGUGGCCCUGUUUAGGAUUAGAUCAAGGUGAAGGAGAAAAGAAAGGGAGAGAGAUGAAUCUCUUUGGGCACAUUCCAUGUAUGAGCGGAAACCUCCUGCCCUGGAGUCAUCUGCGGACCAAACAAAGCUACCAUGAAGCUGGUGCUGGGUCUUGAGCCUAUUGCAGGCAAUGAAGAAGCCAUCAUCUGGAGGUGACCUCCCACUCUUAUCACUAAUGAAGCUGGUCAAGACCUUACCUCCUUCAUAAUUAGAGGACUGUAUUUCAUAAACUGAGGGUCGCAAGCAUAAAACUGGAAGUUCACAUGAUCAAUGAGAUGCCCAUAACUCCUCCAGAGAGCCAAGUAAUGGCUAUGAACUUGAUCAUCAUCAGAUGGAGCUACGGAAGCAAAAGAAAUGACUCCAUUCCUCUUGGGGGUUUUAAUAAGCUGUCCAAUGCACUCAGCAAAGGUUCAUAGUCACUUUGGUCUGUUCCAAGAGUUAUUGUUAUAUCCCAAGAAAAAAAUUGUGGGAAUGGUGAUUUGUUAUUUAUGGGGGUCAUUCAAGCAAGGAAAUCGCUGGGACUGGACCACAAGAACAUUGGGCUGCUAAAGGGGGAGCCAGGCUUAGUUUUUAAAGCAUAUGCAAGUAUGGUGUUGCAAGUACAUUACCUCAAAACAAGAAAAUUUGUAACAUUUAGUAAUAGUAUUUCAGAAGGUGAUAAAAUUAUCUCAAUAAACUAUGGAUGAUUUCCAUUCUGAA